rnacentral:rRNA from 1 species
UGGGGAAUAUUGCACAAUGGGCGCAAGCCUGAUGCAGCCAUGCCGCGUGUAUGAAGAAGGCCUUCGGGUUGUAAAGUACUUUCAGCGGGGAGGAAGGGAGUAAAGUUAAUACCUUUGCUCAUUGACGUUACCCGCAGAAGAAGCACCGGCUAACUCCGUGCCAGCAGCCGCGGUAAUACGGAGGGUGCAAGCGUUAAUCGGAAUUACUGGGCGUAAAGCGCACGCAGGCGGUUUGUUAAGUCAGAUGUGAAAUCCCCGGGCUCAACCUGGGAACUGCAUCUGAUACUGGCAAGCUGUAGUCUCGUAGAGGGGGGUAGAAUUCCAGGUGUAGCGGUGAAAUGCGUAGAGAUCUGGAGGAAUACCGGUGGCGAAGGCGGCCCCCUGGACGAAGACUGACGCUCAGGUGCGAAAGCGUGGGGAGCAAACA